rnacentral:rRNA from 1 species
UACGUAGGUGGCAAGCGUUGUCCGGAAUUAUUGGGCGUAAAGCGCGCGCAGGCGGUCCUUUAUGUCUGAUGUGAAAGCCCACGGCUCAACCGUGGAGGGUCAUUGGAAACUGGGGGACUUGAGUGCAGAAGAGGAGAGUGGAAUUCCACGUGUAGCGGUGAAAUGCGUAGAGAUGUGGAGGAACACCAGUGGCGAAGGCGACUCUCUGGUCUGUAACUGACGCUGAGGCGCGAAAGCGUGGGGAGCAAACAGG